GACGAACGCUGGCGGCGUGCUUAACACAUGCAAGUCGAACGCGCCUGUCCUCUGGGUUUCUGGGGGGUGGGUGAGUGGCGAACGGGUGAGUAACACGUGAGUAACCUGCCCCCUUCUUCGGGAUAACGGUCUGAAAGGGCUGCUAAUACCGGGUAUUCACUGGUCUCCGCAUGGGGUCUGGGGGAAAGGUUUUUUUCUGGUGGGGGAUGGGCUCGCGGCCUAUCAGCUUGUUGGUGGGGUGAUGGCCCACCAAGGCUUUGACGGGUAGCCGGCCUGAGAGGGUGACCGGUCACAUUGGGACUGAGAUACGGCCCAGACUCCUACGGGAGGCAGCAGUGGGGAAUAAUGCACAAUGGGCGCAAGCCUGAUGCAGCGACGCCGCGUGAGGGAUGGAGGCCUUCGGGUUGUGAACCUCUUUCGCCCGUGGUCAAGCCGCGACGUGGGUCGUGGUGAGGGUAGUGGGUAAAGAAGCGCCGGCUAACUACGUG
rnacentral:rRNA from 1 species